CCUAAUCUCUCUCGGUGUUCCUCUGAACGCUUUCACUGCGUUGGUUUGUUUAUUCGCGCGUGGACUCGUCUGGUUGCAGAGUGGCAAAGGCAGCAACAAAUCAUUUGUUCAUUACAAUGGUUCGAGUUCGAAGUUAUCUUUUGACCUGUCCGGACUUGGGAUUUUCUUUCUGUCUGGUCCUUUUAUUUUUCUUUUUGUUACAGUUUACCCCCUUUUGUUAAAUAUAAUUUAUUUGGCCCUCUUUAUCAGAUUCUUUUCCAAGUUAUCUAUCACCAAUCAGUUAUGAUUCUACAACCACUAGUUUUACUUGUUUAAUUAGGACUGAUAUCUGAUAGUGCUAUUUGCAUCAUUUUAAACUUUCUAAAGUUAAAAGAUUGAUAAACACUUAUUCAAAUGACUAGAUUAAAAAACAUAAAAUAACUAAAAUGAGUAGUAAUUGACAAUUGAUGACAAAAAAAAAGAGAAGUAUAUGACAAUUAUAAAGAAAAAUUAUGUAGACAAAAAAAAUAUUUUAAAAAUAAUUUUUUUUUAGAAUCAGUCACAAGUUGUUAAAAAUAUUUUUUGAAAAAAUUAUCUAUUUAUCAGACAUGGAUAAUAUCAAAAACAAGUGAUCCAUUAGCCUCAUUAUGUUUAGUGAUUCAUAACAUCUUACAAGUCUGAAUCUGUGUUUGCUUGUACAAAGGGUCAAGUAUCAUAUGCUUAUCAACCACACAAUCUAGUGUCCCUUGACAACAACAAUCUUUCUUUUAUUGUUAUUCACUUAAGAAAUUAUGCAAAUAAUAUGGAUAAGGAGUAAUCAUUGACUUUCUUGUCUCCCCUCAGACUUACAAAGCUUAAGGAUUCUGUGGAGAAGGAGAAACCAACAAAAGAAACAAAACUUGGAGAUGAAGAAAGCUGACAGAGCUUUUGACUUUGUAAUCUGCAUAUUUUAUUAAACACUGCCUGUAAAAGACAUAUGAAGCAGAAUUAUAUUGUGUAUUUAACUACAUCAUCUUCUUCUUCUAUCAAACACUGAAGAGAGAAAGAGUACAGAACAAUGAAAAGAGUUGGAAUGACCAGAAGAGACGGCUAUGGUUGUUGUAGUUGCAUCUGGAGAUGCUUUGCUGCCCUCCUCCAAGUGGACAACCUGCGCAAAACUUUUUGACAUGUUCUUGAUAAACUCUGUCUCCAAUGCCGCAGAAGCAGGUUUGAAUUCGGUUUCUCCUCCAGCAGAUGGCAAGCUUGGCUAUCUUCUUGUCUUCCGUUUUUCAAUUACUUUUUCCCUCUCUUCAUAAAAUACAAAAUCAUCCAAGAUUGACGUCUCAGCACCAUAGUUCUUGAAAAUCUUGAGCAUCUCAAUGCCUUGUUCCAGUUUCACCUGUUUUUUUUUCAGUUAGCUGUUUAAAAGAGGUGUCUUAAGGACAAGAAAGAGCUUGAGAGGUUACUUACUUCUUGUGUGUCUCGACUAUUAGUUACAGGCUUAUUGUCGUUGUUUUCCAAUGUAAUGUGGCGGAACUGACUGUUUGGAACAUCUUUGAUGAUGUGCCACUUCAUUGGAAACUGUCCACUCCAUUUGUCUUGUUGCCAGUACUCAACGCUCUUCUCAAAAUCCACAGGUCCUAUCAUCUCCGCUACACCACAGAACUGAGAGCUCCCGUUUACAGAAAACAGAAGAAACACUGGGCACGGUUGUUCUUUCUCGUCCUUGGCCUCACGGUAAGCAGCGUCAAGCUUUUUGUUGCCAUUGGAGGUGCUAGUCCAUACAUUGUAUUUAAUGCUCUUGUGAACGUUGUCUUCACUGUAAGACUUGAUUAUGAAGAGCUUAGCGUCAUUGUAGUCGGUGACAAAGUCAUGAUUGUUAGGUUCUUCAUGUUCCUGUGGACUGUCUUUGUAAUUUUUCUUAGUGUAAAUUUAUUUUGUAUUAUGAACCGUCAAUUGUAAUUUUGUUUUGUAUUAUAAACAAAAUUUCGAUUU